GUAAUGAGUGGGAUGACUAUUCUACUUAUGCAAAUACUGAUGGAGUUGAGAUGGCAUUGGUAAGUGUUUAUCCUUGGUAAAAAAAUAAUUUUGUUUAUGGCUCAUGGUUAGGUUUAGAUGCCAUUUUAAUCUCUAUUUCCUUGAAGAUUCGAAUUUUGACAGUUAAUGUGCAUAUCUCACUUGGCAGGGAGUUUACGGGGACAAUGGGUCUGUUAUGUAUCACAAUGCCUAUGGAUAUGCACCCUAUGGACCAUAUUCACCUGCAGCUUCCACAUCCCAACAUUGGAAAAUGAUGGCGAGCUAUAUGGGCCUUAGCACUGCCAGUAUCCUUCUUGUUUCCAGCCACUUACACCAAACAGUGGACCAUUUCACUUCUAGUCAAGCAACCUCUUCUCAAGGGGAGCUUUCUUCCUCCACAACCCCUGACCAAAUGCCUUUGCCUGCUGAAACCGCCAAAGGGAAUCCUAGUAGCAUUGGCAAUGGUGGAGUGAAGGGAAACAAUAGUUCAACUCCAUUUAAACCAACAUAUCAAAAAUUUUCACUGAAUAUGAAUGAUACAAAUGGAAGGGGUAUUUUGC
rnacentral:misc_RNA from 1 species